AGUGGUCAACAGUGUUGCACAUCAGAAGUGUAGUGUAACUCGGUUGAUAAUGAGCGGCGCAACGGUCCAGGCCGGAGACGGAGCAGACAGAAGCUGUCCGCCAUUGCUAGCAGGAGGAAAACGAAUCUUUUU
rnacentral:SRP_RNA from 1 species